AACGAACGCUGGCGGCAGGCCUAACACAUGCAAGUCGAACGAGACCUUCGGGUCUAGUGGCGCACGGGUGCGUAACGCGUGGGAAUCUGCCCUUGGGUGGGGGAUAACAGUUGGAAACGACUGCUAAUACCGGAUGAUGACUUCGGACCAAAGAUUUAUCGCCCAGGGAUGAGCCCGCGUCGGAUUAGCUAGUUGGUGAGGUAAGAGCUCACCAAGGCGACGAUCCGUAGCUGGUCUGAGAGGAUGAUCAGCCACACUGGGACUGAGACACGGCCCAGACUCCUACGGGAGGCAGCAGUGGGGAAUAUUGGACAAUGGGCGAAAGCCUGAUCCAGCAAUGCCGCGUGAGUGAUGAAGGCCUUAGGGUUGUAAAUCUCUUUUACCCGGGAUGAUAAUGACAGUACCGGGAGAAUAAGCCCCGGCUAACUCCGUG
rnacentral:rRNA from 1 species